rnacentral:rRNA from 1 species
AUUGAACGCUGGCGGCAGGCCUAACACAUGCAAGUCGAACGGUAACAGGAAACAGCUUGCUGUUUCGCUGACGAGUGGCGGACGGGUGAGUAAUGUCUGGGAAACUGCCUGAUGGAGGGGGAUAACUACUGGAAACGGUAGCUAAUACCGCAUAACGUCGCAAGACCAAAGAGGGGGACCUUCGGGCCUCUUGCCAUCGGAUGUGCCCAGAUGGGAUUAGCUAGUAGGUGGGGUAACGGCUCACCUAGGCGACGAUCCCUAGCUGGUCUGAGGGGAUGACCAGCCACACUGGAACUGAGACACGGUCCAGACCCCUACGGGAGGCAGCAGUGGGGAAUAUUGCACAAUGGGCGCAAGCCUGAUGCAGCCAUGUCGCGUGUAUGAAGAAGGCCUUCGGGUUGUAAAGUACUUUCAGCGGGGAGGAAGGGAGUAAAGUUAAUACCUUUGCUCAUUGACGUUACCCGCAGAAGAAGCACCGGCUAACUCCGUGCCAGCAGCCGCCGUAA